rnacentral:rRNA from 1 species
AUUGAACGCUGGCGGCAUGCCUUACACAUGCAAGUCGAACGGCAGCACGGGUGCUUGCACCUGGUGGCGAGUGGCGAACGGGUGAGUAAUACAUCGGAACAUGUCCUGUAGUGGGGGAUAGCCCGGCGAAAGCCGGAUUAAUACCGCAUACGAUCUACGGAUGAAAGCGGGGGACCUUCGGGCCUCGCGCUAUAGGGUUGGCCGAUGGCUGAUUAGCUAGUUGGUGGGGUAAAGGCCUACCAAGGCGACGAUCAGUAGCUGGUCUGAGAGGACGACCAGCCACACUGGGACUGAGACACGGCCCAGACUCCUACGGGAGGCAGCAGUGGGGAAUUUUGGACAAUGGGCGAAAGCCUGAUCCAGCAAUGCCGCGUGUGUGAAGAAGGCCUUCGGGUUGUAAAGCACUUUUGUCCGGAAAGAAAUCCUUGGCCCUAAUACGGUGGGGGGAUGACGGUACCGGAAGAAUAAGCACCGGCUAACUACGUG